UGAGUACGAGAUGCUACGGCAUCGAAGCAGUCUAUGUCAUACUUCCAAGAAAAGCUUGCACUGUCAGAAACAGAUAAUGCCUGUACCAUAACCGACACAGGUGGGUAGGUAGAGUAUACUAAGGGGCGCGAGAUAACUCUCUCUAAGGAACUCGGCAAAAUGACUCCGUAACUUCGGGAGAAGGAGUGCCUUAUUUUUAAGGUUGCAAUAACAAGAUCCAAGCAACUGUUUACCAAAAACACAGGUCUCCGCUAAGUCGUAAGACGAUGUAUGGGGGCUGACGCCUGCCCAGUGCCAGAAGGUUAAAGAAGUCGGUUAGCAUUCGCGAAGCUGGUAACCGAAGCCCUGGUGAACGGCGGCCGUAACAAUAACGGUCCUAAGGUAGCGAAAUUCCUUGUCGGGUAAGUUCCGACCCGCACGAAAGGCGUAAUGAUUUGGAUACUGUCUCGGAGAGGGGCUCGGUGAAAUAGACUUGUCUGUGAAGAUGCGGACUACCUGCACCUGGACAGAAAGACCCUAUGAAGCUUUACUGUAACUUGAAAUUGAAAUUGGACUUUAUUUGCGCAGUAUAGGUGGGAGGCGUUGAAAAUAUUCUUGCGGGAAUAUUGGAGCCAUCAGUGAGAUACCACUCUUGUAAUGUUAGAUUUCUAACUUUAUAUCAUUAUCUGGUUAAAGAACAGUUUCAGGCGGGCAGUUUGACUGGGGCGGUCGCCUCCCAAAUGGUAACGGAGGCGCACAAAGGUUUCCUCUGAACGGGUAGAAAUCGUAUCUAGAGUGUAAAGGCAUAAGGAAGCUUGACUGUGAGACCUACAAGUCGAGCAGGGACGAAAGUCGGUCUUAGUGAUCUGACGGUGCUGAGUGGAAAGGCCGUCACUCAACGGAUAAAAGUUACUCUAAGGAUAACAGGCUGAUCUCCCCCAAGAGUUCACAUCGACGGGGAGGUUUGGCACCUCGAUGUCGGCUCAUCGCAUCCUGGGGCGGUAGUACGUCCCAAGGGUUGGGCUGUUCGCCCAUGAAAGCGGUACGCGAGCUGGGUUCAGAACGUCGUGAGACAGUUCGGUCCAUAUCCGGUGUAGGCGUUAGAAUAUUGAGAGGAGCCUUCUUUAGUACGAGAGGACCGAGAAGGACAUACCUCUGGUGUACCAGUUAUCGUGCCAACGGUAAACGCUGGGUAGCUAUGUAUGGAGUGGAUAACCGCUGAAAGCAUCUAAGUGGGAAGCCCACCUCAAGAUAAGUA
rnacentral:rRNA from 1 species